ensembl:lncRNA
CCCAGCGUGGUCAAGAUCACUUGAUUUCUUUGAAACUGGAAUCUGGGAACAUGCACACCAUUGGAGGUUAUACCUGGAUGGCUGCUUCUGUUCGAAAUUACGAACGUCACAUGGAUUUCGAUUUUGGCAGUACGUCCAACCGGCCCCACGUGUAACCACGCCAGCCAAGGACCUCCACAUCCGGCUUCUUCACCUGCGGGAUCAUCAAUGACCUGCCACCUGGACAGCUGAUGAAACUCAGGGUUUAUAUAAUUGAAGAAUUUCUGCACAAACUGUCAAAAGCCAUCUAAUCUGUGUGCUCAUCGUUCUCCCCAGGGUCUUGAACUGACUGCAGUUCAGUGUUGUAACUGACUUCAGUGGGAAAAUGCUCACCUUCAAUGGCCACUGGCAUGCUGGAGAAGUGUGCUCUUCACAGAUGAAUCCCAGUUUCAACUGUACUGGGCAGAUGGCAGAGAGGGUAUGAGGUUGUGUAGCAUGAUAAUGCACGGCCCCAUGUUGCAAGGAUUUGUACACGAUCCCUGGAAGCUGAAAAUGUCCCAGUUCUUCCAUGGCCUGCAUACUCACCAGACAUGUCACCCAUUGAGCCUGUUUGGGAUGCUCUGGAUCGACGUGUACCACAGCAUGUUCCAGUUCCUGCCAAUAUCCAGCAACUUUGCACUGCCAUUGGAAAGUGGGGCAACAUUCCACAGGCCACAAUCAACAGCCUGAUCAACUCUAUGUGAAAGAGAUGUCGUGCUGCAUGAUGCAAAUGGUUGUCACACCAGAUACUGGCUGGUUAUCUGAUCCACGCCCUACCUUUUUUUUAAGGUAUCUGUGACCAACAGAUGCAUAUCUGUAUUCCCAGUCAUGUGAAAUCCACAGAUUAGGGCCUAAUGAAUUUAUUUCAAUUGACUGAUUUCCUUAUAUGAACUGUAACUCAGUAAAAUCUUUGAAAUUGUUGCAUGAUGAAUUCAUAGUUUUGCUCAGUGUAGUUAGCUGUAGUCAUAGUACUGGCAUAUAUUAUGGUAUUACAGUACUGUAUCGACC